CGUAUGCAUCGAAGGAGAGCCGGGGUACGGACGCCACCGCCGCCACCUGCGGAUGGUCUUCCUGUCCGUCCAUCCGCGCAGCCCACGCGGGCGAGCUGCCGAUCUGGCUGGGCUGCCGGGCCACGCAACGGACGGCAGCGGUUCGAGCAACUCCUCGACGCAGGGGAAAAGGUUGGCGGCGCUGGAGUUCGUCGGAACGGGCAGGCGGCCGGUGGGUGAAGCGAGGCCACGGCGCCGGCGCGAGUAAUACGGGCGGAUCCGGGGGCGGCAGCGACCGAUCUGGCUGCUGGUGCGGUGGCUUGCUCCGGUGGCGACGGCGUCCUGCUCAUCCAUAGAAAGAGAGACAGGGCAUGAGGGAGAAAGGAAUAAAGGAGAAGGAGCAGGGGGCGCAGAGUCAGGGAGGCGGUCGCUAGCGGUGGCAGCUCCGGCGACCGGCCGGCGGGCUUGCCAGGCAAGGCUAUGGAUUACGCUAGCCUGAGAUUCAAUAGAGACACGGUGAUUCUGGUCGGAGCCGUGGCUACGUGAUUCUGGUCGGCGUGCAUCCAUAGUCAGAGGACGCCGAGCCUUCCUCGCUGCCAGCAACAUCAGCUCGUCUCGGCAUGAGGUCUGCACGCUUACCUUGCCUUUCUAAUAGAGACUGAACUGCAAUUUUUGUCUGCGCUGCUUCUUAAAGUAGUCCAUGGUUUGUACAAAUAACCACAUGUAAAUCUUAAUUUAGUUGAUAUUGGAAAAGAUUGUUUCUUUCGAACCAUAUAUGUGGAGCAACUAGAAAUAGUACGUAUGUGUUUUUCCCAGGCUCCCACAUUAGACCAGUGCUCUAAUGUUUGUUCCAGGUUGAGCAUGGCAAUAAUGUACAGUUUGAACUUCGUGAUGGCAGAACUUUUUUGCCUUGAAGUAUUCUGUGAAUUACACCAUGAAUAGCAACAACAUCAGGCCAUUUGAGAGAAGGGGUGUCCCUGGAGUUCUCCCUAAAUCUUACUGCAUUCUUAGUGACAAUGAGGAAUUAUUAUUCACUUGAGAAAAUAAAGAUUAAAUCGGUGAGGCUCUCAAAAAUGAAAUGACUUUCUGAGCUCGGCAUUGACUUUUUGAGCUAGAUAUUGACUUUGAGUAGCACAAUAUAGGUCCUAUCUGAAGCCUUCUGCGUGCCUGUUACAAUGAUCGUUUCAUUUUCCUUUGUAUAUUAACCAGCGAAUAUUAUUGUCUGCUAUAACUGCUGAAAGAUGUCAUAUUCUUUUGUUAUAAUGGUGUUUGCAGUAGGAGUGUAUGCCUCUCAUUCAAAGAAGAGGCUCAACAAUCUUUUGGAUGGGCUUAUGAUUACCACAUAUAUGAUCUUAUGAAGCAGGAGUUGAGAACUACAAAAUCCAUAUAUUCCUAGAAUGGAGCUGGUUGAAGUUGGGCCUUCAAUGGACAUGGUAGUUAGGUGGCACCGACGUUUAGUAAAGCCAAUUUUUGAUGAGGAAAUGCACCAAAAAAAAGUUUAGUGGAAGUGGAUUAGAUUGUUUUGUAGUCAUAUGCUCUUGAGAAAUUUUGCGCUUUCUUUAUUUCUUCUGAUUAUAAUUCUUUGUUUAUUUCUAACUGACAUGAUAUGCAAAAGAAAAUCCUGUGAUUUGUUUGCCCUCUCAUUGACCAUUUAAUUUUUCAGUCAUAGCUAUAUACAAAGAAGUAUUGUACAUAUAGUCAAGGUUUUUGAGUCGCCUAGCCAAGUCGAGUCGCCAUGCCUCCGACUAGUGGCUCGCUGCGAUUAGUCUGCGACUCGUCGUGAUUAAUCGCCCCAAGUCGCCCCAGGUGUUAAGAGGAGGAGGAGGAGGGGGAAGAGGAGGAGGAGGGGGGGGGAAGAGGUGUUGUUGCAGGCGGAGGAGGGGGAAGGCAGCUGCUUGGAGUAUAAUUCAGCUCGGAGAAGGCAGCAGCAGCUCGUAGGAGCAAUGGAGGCGGCGAUUCUGAUGUGGGAUGGGAGCACGUGUCUUGCUCCUCCUCUGUUUCGUGCUAGAGAGCUGGCCCAAUAGGCCCAUUAUGUAACCCUAGCUUCCAGAUAAAAAUCCCAACCGUCCAUAUGCUCUAAUCUGAACUGUGCAUCUGCUCCCAUGUGCCUUUCUCCUUCGUCUCUUCCGUGCUUCUCCUCGUACAGGCGGCGCACUCUCCAGCUUUGUCUCCUCCUCCCCUCCCUCGAACUCUGGCCUCCUCACCUUCCCAGUCUUCCCUCCCUUGGCCUUGCUGAAGCAAGCCGCCCUGCUAUGAGGUCCUAGUCACCCGACUAGUCGUCGACUAAUCGUCGACUAGCCUACCAGUCGCGCGACUCGCUCCUCAAGCCAAGUCGCCUGCGCAAGCCAACCUCGCUCCAACAACUUGGCGAUUAGUCGGCGAUUAGUCGGCGACUCAAAAACCUUGCAUAUAGUUUUGUGUUUUCGGAAACGUCUAAAGGCUUGUUACAUGCAUCAUUUUCUCUUCCAUAUCCUUCAUCUGAAACUGAAAAUAUGAACCAUUUUGUUGAUAUGAACAUUAGUUGCAAGGUGAAUAAAUAGUGGUCGACGAUGUGGCUGGAUGUACAUGAGCAUAUGUUGUAUCUUUGACGCCAUUCAUUUUGAAUCAUUAGAAUAAUAAAAUAGGUUUGUUUGGAUAAUUAUUUUCCAGGUUUCUAAACACAUUUAUUUAUCUAUUUUGUAUCCACACAUAUGUUUCCCUAAAUAAAAUGACUGUACAAUUGUGUGAACUGAGUGGCUGGUCGUUACUGUAGAUUAAAUUUCUCACAUUAAGAAUCUUUGCCUGAUGCUACAAAAAAAAUCUAUGUUUUGUAGCAGGAUUAAUGAUCAAAUAUAUCCUUUUUAUUGUAAAUAUUUUAGUCUGCUACUUUGUUCAUUAAUUUUUCUGGGUAUUUAUGCUUAAGUUUUAUUUCAAAGCAAAAUCAUAUUGAGCUAUCUACAAGUUAGAAUUGUCCAAAACGGUUUUUGUAACAUUGUAUAUCAUGUGUUUUCUCUUUUAUUCAUAACAUAAUAUGCAGUCACACAAUUUAUAUCUCGGUUGUGAAUUCCAGAGGGAAGGAUAGCCUUCCUGGCAGUUAGAGCUUCGUCACUUGCUGAUCUAACAGUAUAGACAAGCAAUGCAAGCCAACCAAGAAAAAUAGUUAGGGAAGCACCGAGUUCGCCGGAGGUAGCAGAACGUUUGUCGAGCCAUCCAAUAUUGCCAACGGUGGCUACACCAGAGGUAUGUGAUGCCUCGACCACCCUCAGAAACAGCCUUGCUAUUCCCCCUUCCCUUUCUUCUUGAGAUUGUCGUAUCAUCGUCUCCCUGUAAUGUGAUGUAGCACUGUACUAUGCACUUCAGCACUAAGCCCAGAACCUAGCUAGCUUACUUGAGGGUCGGCUCCGGAUUUUGACGAUUGUGUUUGUGUAUAAUUUGUGAGGGGCUGUAGAGAGUCAAUUAACAAGUCAAUUAAUACAAACCUGUUUUUCUCUACGGUCCUCUGAACAUACUCGCUAUAAGAACAUAUAUUUCAAUAUUUGAGCACUGAAAAAAUUGUCAAAUUGACUGGCUGCCUUGUGAAGAAGUAGCAAGAACGAACUCAGGAAAUUCUGCAAAUGAUAUCAGCAUUGGUUUGUGUAGAACUGUGGAUGUUUCUCUUGCAAGUCUAGGUUUUAGACAAAAAAAUCCUGCAGUUGAGGUAAUUUUUUUUUGUUAGGAAUUAGGAGAAUUGUUAUGUACUCCCUCCGUCCGAAAAUACUUGUCAUUGAAAUGGAUGUAUCUAGAUGUAUUUUAGUUGUAGAUGCAUCCAUUUUGAUGACAAGUAUUUCCGGACGGAGGGAGUAGUAAAAUUACCAAAAUUCUUACAAAAUAUUCUGCAAGUUUUGUUUGCCGCUGCUCAGUCAAGCAAAGCCAACUGCUCGCCACUAUAUGUGGUUCUCUUGCCAUGUCAUGGGGUGCAACCACAAGUGGCACAAGACUGUAGUUGUGGUGUUCUAAAAUUUACUGAUGUUGAUGUUUCUUUUCAAGAUUGUGGUAUUGUUUACCAAUUUGGUCCCCGGAUUAUGUACUCAUUUCCUUUUCUAUUCUUUGUAGAUAAUUUGCUUCAGUUAAUCGAACUACAUGCUGAAACAUGUGUAUUGUUUCUCAAUAUAUUGGGCAUCAAUUCACCCCUCAUGAGAUCUCUGAAUUUUCUACGCAUAUUGUAUUUGCUGAAUUAUUUCCUCCAGAUAACUAUGCUUGGAUUCACAAAUGCGUGCAAUGCUUUCAAGUAGAGGUUAGUUCAAUACUUAAGUUGUGAUAUUCCACUUUCAACUUUUUGGUCCUAGAAGUGUACUACUUGGUAGGUUAGCUGCAAAAGCGGAAUGUAUAUGGCCUGAAUUUAUAUUUCAGAGUGUAUAAUCUGAUUCAGAGUAUUUUGACCCCUUGCGUUCUAAAACAUUUUGUUGUAUCGUUC